CAGCAGCCGCGGGAAUACGUAGGUGGCAAGCGUUGUCCGGAAUUAUUGGGCGUAAAGGGCUCGCAGGCGGUUUCUUAAGUCUGAUGUGAAAGCCCCCGGCUCAACCGGGGAGGGUCAUUGGAAACUGGGAAACUUGAGUGCAGAAGAGGAGAGUGGAAUUCCACGUGUAGCGGUGAAAUGCGUAGAGAUGUGGAGGAACACCAGUGGCGAAGGCGACUCUCUGGUCUGUAACUGACGCUGAGGAGCGAAAGCAUGGGGAGCAAACAGGAUUAGAUACCCGCGUAGUCCCUGUCUCUUAUAA
rnacentral:rRNA from 1 species